CAUGAACCAGAAAUCAAAGUUAUCAACAGUAGCAAGUCCAAUGUACUUCUGUGAAGGCCUCUUCUCGUUUUGGCUCAAGAUUGUGCCCUUUAUCUUUCCUAAAGGAUUGAAGUUUUUAAACUUACCUUAUAAUGGGCUCUGGCUGACAUUCCACUUGAGGACUGGAGUUUAAUUGAUCUUUCACUAUAAAAGGCAAUCCUGUGAGUUGUGAUGAAGAGCAAACCAGCUAUUGGACCGACAGUUGUGGAGAUAUAACAUUGAGAAGCCUUCGAGAUCUUCUCUCCAUUUCCAACAUUGAACUUUUGCUUGAAGAUCUUACCCACUCCACCAUUUCGGAUAAUUCUGGCUCCUAAGCUCAACUUCCCCUUCAAUAAUGUGGUGAUAUUGGAUCCUAGUCUUACUGUAAAUACAUACAUCAACCAAAAGACAUAAGCUUUGAUUAUAAAUUUUUUGUCAUGAAUAAUAAUAUAUGAGAAUUCUUGAGGGAAAAAAGUAUUUACCAUGCUCUAGAAUGCUAUUUGCCUCCUUUUC